CCAAAUCCUUUCAGAAUAAUGCAAUGGUAUGAAUAUGAAUUUUUAAUGCAGUGACAUCAAUGUCAGGUCGUGGACACAAUGAAACACAGGAGCAGCGGAGCCCCUUGUCUGUUGCUGAGGGUUAUGCAGUNUCCCCAUCUCAGAAAGAAAGAAGCCAAGGCUCAGAGCAGCCAGGGCCUUGCCUGAAGUCACCCCCAGCUCCUGCAGCAGGAGUUGAGGCCCCAUGGGCUGGAGAGGGCACCCACGCCUCUCCAGCAGCCGGCCCCUCUGGCCACAGAGGACAAGAGCCUGGUGGGUCUGUGGGACCCACCACUGCAGGUGCAGGUGCAGCCUAGGGGAGGGGAAGAGGCUGAAACACGCUCAGCUCAGGCCCUGGGGACCUCCGCAGCACAAUGUGCCUCUCUAAAGCCCUGAGGUUUCGGAGCCCAAGGCUGCUACAUGAACACUGUUAUGCCUUGGAAGGGCUUCCAUAGCCUGAGGCUCCCAGCAUCCACUAGUGGAAUGGAUCACAAAGAAGGCAGCACCAGACUGACGAGCAGGAACACUAAUUCCAAGAGCACAGCAAGAGGAGACUAGAGCCACCACCCACUGCCAAGGAAACCACCAUGUGGGCAGAGGAAGGGAGGGGUCAGCUCGUCCAAAAGCGGGCAGAGCCACUGCGCAGGCUCCCUCCCAGCCCCUGAGUGCUCUGUGCCUAGUGGAGGGGGUUAGAGGCCCCAGUCCUCACCUCCUCCAGGAGGGACAGGGCCACUGCGCAGGCUCCCUCCCAGCCCCUGAGCUCCACUCAGUUGGAGCGGGUAGAAAGGGUAGAAUGGCCUCUACUCCACAGUCCUCCUGAUGAAAAAUGCCUUUACACUAAGUUUUGCAGUGAAAAGUAUGCAAAAUGUUUUUUAACAACUUUGAUUUUGGGCAUAAGAUGACAGAGAUCCAAGGAGCUCAAUUAGUUUAUCCUCGGUAUAAGGACAUGGGGAAGGGACAACAGGAGAGCACAAGAGCAAGGAAAGGGCCCAGCCCCAGGGCCGAGGUUGAGGACCACCUUCGUGGGUGGGUCUGCGUCUCCUUCUAUGGAGGCCUAGCAGGCAGCGCCUGCCUCCUGUGCUCCCCUUCAGGACUGGGAAUUUAGACCACAUGUGACUGUGCCUUGCACUCAUUCCUGAUUCCUGUUAAAUAGUUGGCCUCUGUCUAGUGAUGGCCCAGGUGCUCUCACCCCU
rnacentral:lncRNA from 1 species